UACGUAGGGUGCGAGCGUUGUCCGGAAUUACUGGGCGUAAAGAGCUCGUAGGUGGUUUGUCGCGUUGUCCGUGAAAAACUCACAGCUCAACUGUGGGCGUGCGGGCGAUACGGGCAGACGUGGAGUACUGCAGGGGAGACUGGAAUUCCUGGUGUAGCGGUGGAAUGCGCAGAUAUCAGGAAGAACACCCGGUGGCGAAGGCGGUUCUCUGGGACGGUACUGACGCUGAGACGCGAAAGCGUGGGGAGCGAACAGG
rnacentral:rRNA from 1 species